AGCUCCACCUUCAGGACAGAGACCUCUUGCCAGCCCUUCCCAGUCCUGCCUGGAGACCGUGUCCUCGACGGAUCGCACAGCUCUAGGGGAAGAGCGGCAGGAGCAGUCGCCCUGGGCCAGGACGACGGCCGGAAGAGGGCUCUGAUUCCGUGUUGGAGGAGACAUUUCUUGGGCUGGGCGAGCCUCCGUUUGGCACAGGCCGGUUGCAGCCCCAUCGAGGAGAGCCAGUGUCGUCUGCGAGAGGGGCUUCUCCGUGGGGAACCGGCCGUGCUCUGCUGCCUCCGUUUCUCCGUGGUACGUGGAGGUGCGACUCCUUUUCAGUGUCAACUCUUUCCCAGCAUGGCUUCUUGGGCGUGAUGCCAGCUUCCGGGGGUGGGGGUGGGGAGCGAGGAGGAGGCUGGUCCUGGGGAGGACGUUGCUGUCCACGUCUCUGUGGGAGGUAUGAUGGUGGCCACUGGGCCUUUGCUUUAUUUGGAAUGUAAAUUUGCCCCAUCCCCUUGCCCUCGGGGCACGAUCAGGAGACCCUCCUGGAGGGGGCGUCCAUGCUGGUUGCACCGCCAGAGGUGUUCUGCUGGAACGGAGAAGCCAGCUGAGCUCCGGGCAUGCCCUCGAGGGCCAUGAGUUUGAGCUCCUUUUCAGGAAGGAACACGUCCUG
rnacentral:lncRNA from 9 species